UACAGAGGGUGCAAGCGUUGUUCGGAAUUAUUGGGCGUAAAGGGCGCGUAGGCGGUGCGGUAAGUCUGUAGUGAAAUCUCUGGGCUCAACUCAGAGUCUGCUGCAGAAACUGCCGGUGCUUGAGUGUGGGAGAGGUGAGUGGAAUUCCCGGUGUAGCGGUGAAAUGCGUAGAUAUCAGGAGGAACACCGGUGGUGUAGACGGCUCUCUGGACCGUAACUGACGCUGAGACACGAAAGCGUGGGUAGCAAACAGG
rnacentral:rRNA from 1 species